CUUCUACGUGUAGAGGUUUGACGGUACCGUACGAAUAAGCAUCGGCUAAAUCCGUGCCACUAGCACCGGUUAAUACGGAGGAUGCAAGCGUUAUCCGGAUUUAUUGGGGUUUAACGGGUACGUAGGCGGGAGCUUAAGUCAGUGGUGAAUCCUGCAGCUUAACUGUAGAACUGUCAUUGAUACUGGGCUUCUGAAAUGUAGUUGAGGUAGCCGGAAUGUGUAAUGUAGCGGUGAAAUGCUUAGAUAUUACACAGAACACCGAUUGCGAAGGCAGCUUACUAAACUACGAUUGACGCUGAGGUACGAAAGCGUGGGGAGCGAACAGGAUUAGAUACCCUGGUAGUCCACGCUGUAAACGAUGAUCACUCGUUGUUGGCAAUACACCGUCAGCGACUGAGCGAAAGCAUUAAGUGAUCCACCUGGGGAGUACGACCGCAAGGUUGAAACUCAAAGGAAUUGACGGGGGCCCGCACAAGCGGAGGAACAUGUGGUUUAAUUCGAUGAUACGCGAGGAACCUUACCUGGGCUUAAAUGUAGAACGACGGACCGGGAAACUGGUCUUUCUUCGGACGGUCUGCAAGGUGCUGCAUGGCUGUCGUCAGCUCGUGCCGUGAGGUGUCGGGUUAAGUCCCAUAACGAGCGCAACCCUCAUCAUUAGUUGCCAGCGGGUAAUGCCGGGGACUCUAAUGAAACUGCCGGUGUAAACCGAGAGGAAGGUGGGGAUGACGUCAAGUCAGCACGGCCCUUAUGUCCAGGGCUACACACGUGUUACAAUGGUCGGUACAAAGGGCAGCUACCUGGCGACAGGAUGCUAAUCUCGAAAACCGAUCUCAGUUCGGAUCGAAGUCUGCAACUCGACUUCGUGAAGCUGGAUUCGCUAGUAAUCGCGCAUCAGCCAUGGCGCG
rnacentral:rRNA from 1 species